GCACAGGUUUCGUAAAAAAAAAAAAAAAAAAAAAGUUUCGUUAAACGAGUACAGAUCUGUGCAUGGCUUUUAUCUAUCUCCAAUUUUUUUUCCUUUUUUCGAUUCUUUUUUUUUUUUUUUUAUAUCACCGGUUCGUAUAUAUCAUCGUACCACAUUUUUUUUCGGCUAAAAAUUUAAUGCAAAAAAACAUGGAAUAAGAAUCGCUUUCGAAUUUCUGAAAAAAAAAAAAAAAGAACGAAAAAUAAAUCUAUGAAUUUUUCCAUAUAUCCGAUGUGGAAAAAUAAAUGAAAAGAAAGAAAAAAAAAAAAAGAAAGGACACGGUCUCGAUUCACAAACCCUCGAUGCGAAAACAAAAAUCGAAACAUUUUUACUUUCAACCGUCUGAUUCGUCGCGACCCCUCUCUGAUCGAACAGCGAGGGUGCUGCGCCGUGGACGUCGCGACGUGCUUCAGCCCUUCGAACGAUCGAACGGGACGCUUGGAACAGGAUAGCAUGAACGAAUGGUUGGUUUCUUGGUGGACGAAAGGAUGGAUGGGUGGACGGAUAGAAAGAAACGAGACAAGAGGGUGAUCUUUGAGAGAUGAUCGGGGAUAGGGUAUAACGUUACGAUUAUACGCGAGUACAAGUUUCUAUUUCUAUACGUGGUGACAGAAUUUUUACGUGUACGAUGAGCGUACGUUGUUGGUUGCCACGAAGAACGGGAAGAGGAUCGACUUAAUCAAAGUCACGAUAUUUCUGUAACGAGGAACGCUCGGUUUUUAUUUUCGAUCCAGCCUCUCACAAUUGGAUUUUCCGAUUGGAUGCCCCUGAUAGUUUAUCGAUCCACGACCUGGCCUGAUUGAUGAUUGUGGUGGUGACUGCGUGUGGUGGCGCAAUAGGGCACGACGCAUGGGAAUACGUGGCCGGUGUGACGAGGAAUUGCAGGUGCAAAGUGGUUUAUGGCUCAUCAUCGCGGGAGAAGAGCGGAGGACUUUGGUGGAAAAAUUUGUCAGGGAUUCCUCGAAAUGGCUUGAACCAUUUCAGACGACGCGUAUUAAUCGUGGCAAUAAAUUUUCACUCGCGAUUGAAUAGUUUUUUUUCUUCUUUUUUUUUUUUCCAAAAAGUGUAUCGAGCUCAGUAUUGAAAUGUAAACCGAAUACGUGCAAUUUUCGUGUAAACGAAAUAUCAAAGCUAUAUCGGGGGAUCGUAAACAAAACGUAUGUGUGUUUUUAACGUUAUGAAUGUCAAUUACAAAUAUUACAGGAGCUCCUGGAUCGCAUACAUGGUUGCAUAAAUCGGACGUAUCCACGCGACCGGAUGUGUAUAACCUUCCCCCUCUUUGCCGGUUUAACGUCGUAUCUAGAUCAUUUCCAUAUUCGCACCGUUUCAAUGGACGUCGCGAUUAAAAACCUCGUCCGUCAUUGAGGAAACGUGGGAAAAGGCAUGGAAGAAAUGAAGUGUCAAAAGUUUGAAAUAUUUCUUCGUAUUAUCGAAUACGAAUUCGCCGAAAAAAAAUCAUGGGAUUCGAACAACGAGGAAGGAAGAAAUAGCGCCGUUGAUCCAUUGUUCUGAUCACAGAUAUGUAUCGCGAUUCUUUUCGAUAAUAUCGCUCGAUUAAUUAACAGUCGAUACUCAAACGAAUAUGCAUUCGCAGGAGGAUAACAUCGAUUCAAAAAAAGGAAAAGCCAGCAGCCUCGGCGAUUUUCUCCAUGAUAUCACCAGGAUCCAUCGUUUAGUCACGCGAUAGGCUCAAGAGUGACCCCAAUUUUCGUCGAAUCGCAUCGCGGAAAACAAAGGGCGGAAAAAAUGCACGAAACCCGUUAUGAAACAAUAAUCCCGCAUCUGGCUUGGUUCGCGGAAAAAAAAUUUCCCUAUAAUCCGGUAUCUAUUAUAUUUGCAACGUAUUCAACCAGAAUGGAAUGAAUUGGAUUGGUCGUUGCCGUCCAAUCGAACGAUAAACGGCCGAAUAUCCUCCUCGACGAGGAGGAUACGCGCACGUUUUUUUCUCCUCGCAUUUUCCUUUUUGUUCGUCCCCACCGGUGUCUAUUUUUUAUUCCGUUGUUUCUAUUUUUUUCCCCUUCUCUUUUCUUUUUUUCUUUGUUUUUUAGAGAGGAAAGAGAGAGGGAUGGAGAUGGCACAAUUCAGUUUCGGAUGAAAAAAAAAAGAAACGACGGUACGUGCGAAUGAUCGUGCGCGCGAUGGCGUAAGCAGCUACCGAUUUUUAUGCCACUUGCCCCUGUACGUCGAUGUUAUCACGAUUUCCGGACCCGGCAGGAAGUCGAAGCGGGCCAAUUUACAUCCACGACACAUCCCUAUCCCGCAAAUAAUUCCGUCGACGCGUUUAAGAAGAUUUAUGGAGUCUAUUUUGCCCGCUCGUUUCAAGUAUUUUUCGUCCUCGACUAAAUAUUUUAUCCACACCCUUUCCUCUCUUGUCUCCUCACAAUAGACGCGACUUUUCUAAUCUAUCACUUUUUCAGGUUAAUCCGCGAUUCUUCCCUGUGAGUUCUAAGCCGAGGCAGAUACUCGUCGUCGACGAUAAUUUCAAAACGACGUGUUCUUGAUUCUUCUUCAUCCUCGACUCGAUAAAUGAUCGUCGAUCCUUGUUGGCUAAUUUCUCUCGUCAAGGUCGAUCCCUUUGGGGGACGGCACCGAGAUGAGGCGCGAUCUCGAAGCUUCGGUUCGGUUUAAAUUCCACGUGGGAGAAACGCCUCCGAAUCCGUCUGUUACGUGGUAAUGACUCGGUUCCCUUCGUCCCCGUGGCAAUCGACGCUCCACGCUGUCCAAAACUACCCUCGAGACGAGUUCUCUCCCCCGUUUAUUAACCCCCUAUCCCCUCAAAACGCCACCUGAACACCGUUUGUGCAUCGGAGAGAGAGAGAGAGGACGAGCCUUUUGCGAUUUAGAAGAAGAGGAAGGGAAGGAAGACAAGGAAUCAGCGUUGCUCAUUACUUCGCGAUCAGCGGAUUCCUCCUAUCGGGUCGGUCGAAUCGAUCGUCCCCUCUCGUGGCGAAAAUCUGCGAGUUCGAGGCGAGUUUCAAGUCGGUUUCUAACAGUCUUGGAGCAAACGACUGAUUCUAAAUGAUUCCCUGUAGUGGAACGAGAGACUCGGAGGUAAUAACGAGAGAGAGAAAGGAAGAGAGAGGGAGGGAGGGAGUAUUUUCGCAGUCCAUUUGUUUUGAUCGGAUUUCCAACUGUCUCUGGUAAUCCCGGGGUAGUAAGCUCCCGCAGGCAUCGUCAGAUUCCAAUGAAAACCCUAACGUUUCCCUAUCCCUUCGUGGAAGAGAGACACUUUUCUUACAGAGACACCCCAUGGAUCCCUCAACCCCCGUGAUCGCUGUUUGCGAUCUGUUUGCUAGUUUUCCCUCCUCCUUCCAUCUCUCUUCCGUUCUUUCUAUCUUUUCACGUCUCCAAUUGUAUUCUUCGUUUUCCAACGAUUUAUCGUUGCUGUCGAUAUAUUUAUACAAUUGAAUUUACCGCCAUUUCAAGGGUGCCAAUUUCGAGGGACACGCAUCAUAGGAGAAAGAACGUUUUCAAAUUGGAAACCAGGCGAAUUUAUACGAUGAUACGAGCGAAGAUCGUUAUAAACUGUGUAACGCUGUAUGAAACUCGUUGUUGUCCGCGUCGCGAGGCAAAGAUUGGAGAGUUGGCAAAGCGAGGCUGAUCGAAGCUUAUUCUCGUCGGGAAGAAAACAGAUUAGCUCCCUUGAAUUGAAAAACUUUAUUUGGAUUGAAGAUCGGAUUGAAAUUACAAUUGAGAAAGUUGACGACUCGAGAUGAUGGUUUCUCUCUCGCCCGUGGAACUCAUCCACGAGCCUCCUCCACCUCCUCCCACCUCCCCAUAACGCGUAAGAAAAUUGAAUUAACGAGGGCAAUCUUCGAAACUACGUCAAGCCUUGGGACACGUCAAAGUCGAAGUUUAAAUUGAAAUCAACCCCGUAACCAGCGUCACGUGAAUUUGGUCAAAGAGGGCCCCCCCUCCUCCCCUGGACCAGCUUCAUACAUACUCGAUCUCACUUAACUCUUGAACCUAUUAGUACCGUAUCGAUUAUGUCGUGUAUCGGAAUUAUGCGGGUGACACGCGCCGCUACCCGUAAGUGUGCGAGUAAACUAGUAUCUAAUUUCACGGCAAUAUCGAGGAAUACCUGAUCUGGCGAGUAAAUAUUGCCGCGCUAUCGAUUCGAUUUUCACAUCGAUUGGGGGAUCGAUAAUUAUCGCGGGUAAAUAAAAAGCGGAAGAGAACAGAAUCUGGCAGGAUUAAUUAAAUUGUCGAGGCGGCGGUUAAAUGGGGAGGAAACGGAGGGAGAAAAGCGUAUUUAUGAAAUAUUUCGCGAUAUUCUUUUUCUCCGUCGCAACAGCGUACGUGGUGCGUAAAUUUUUAAAAUUCCAGAAAAUGGAAUUAAGUUGUGCAUUUUUAAAAAAAAAAAAAGAAAAAAAGAUGCGAAACGUGCAAAUAUUUAUAGCCAGGGGAUUAAAUUCGUUUUUCAUUUAUGAAUGGGACGUGAAAUGUAAUCAAACGUUCCUUGAUGAAGGAAUAAACGUGGUUACGUAAUGAGAUAUUCGUCAUCGGUGUGGGGGGAGAAGGUGGUAGAGAAGGAGGAGGAGAAGGAGGAGAAGGAGAAGGCAUCGAUCGAUAUAAAAUAUGGAGGACAAAGUUAGCCAUAGAUCAGAGAUCAAAUAUCGAGACCUACUUGAACCGAGAUUAAACCUUUUCGAAGGUAGGAAGCUAACGAAGGCGAGCGCCAAGCGGCAGGUCGCUGUGACAUCUGUCAAGCCCCGUAACGGGGAAGUUCAUUAUGGCGUUCAGCAGGGCGCCACGUCAUUUAUUUCAAUUACUGCCAAACGGUAAAGCUGAAUCGGCAGAUCCCCGCAUCCGUUUCGAUCAUUUAUGAAUGUUCGUCAUUAAUGGCGUUGAGAGAAAGAGGGCGAGAAAAAGAGGGCGUCACACCUACUACCUCUCCACUCUCUUCCCCUUUUCCCCAUUUCUCGUCCAAAGAUAUUUAUUUCGAUGGCCCUUUCCUCUCCCAAUACUCCUGCUUGUUAUCAAUCUUAUCCCAAUUUUCUCGCCUUUUGUCUCGACUCGAGUUUUUAAUUCGUUCCUUUUUUUCCGAGUCGAAAAAUAAAAAAAAGGAGAAGAGAAAAGCAAGUUCAACAUCGUUGUUCCAUCCAGUGAAUAAACAUGAGUAUUCAACCUAUAUCCCCAUGAAUAUAUAUGAACGUCACGCGAAAUUUGACGAAAUUUAUUUGACAUUUUACAAAAGAUUCCCUUUGACGAUGACGAUGAUCAAAGGAUGGCCAAUUUGCACGUUCGAUGGCGCGUGCGUUGACGGAAUGAUCGCGCGUUAUAUCGUACAAUACUCGCGGGGAUUUUAUCAUCGAAACGUCUUGAAAUAAUAUUUCGAGGCGUAGAAAUUUUGCAAAUCUGAUCCUCCCUCCGUCGAGAUGUGUAAUCUCCUCCUACGAUUCUCAGUGUCGUCGGAUUAUUAUACGGAUUGUACAAAGAAAGCACUGUACAUCCCAUCCUCGUACACGGGAAAUUAAUGUUAGGAAAUUCAUUCCAACAGUUUCAUAACAGCUUCUCGAUAACUGGAUUUCAAUUUGCCCGGAGGCCAGGCUUGAUUGAGCAAUCUCGUGCCUUUAUAAUAUAGGAUGCCCGUGUAAGAUAUAUGAUAAACCGAAGUAACUUAGACGUUCGCAAGUUUCACUGCGAGUAAUCAGCUUGCUUAUCAGAUUUUCCGCUUCCUGUGCGCCUAGGCAGGAAGACGACGGAUUGCGACAGAUUCGCGAGGUUAAGAAUUUGUUCGUUUGUCUUUUUUUUUUUUUACGAUAAAACGAAUCUCUGUCAACCAACGCUUGUGCAAAAUUUUCGACCUCGUUCUCGAUCUCGAUAAUUUUUGAUCGGCAACGAUCGAAAGUAUUCGAUUUGAUUUUUCAAAACUGAGAAACGUUCGUCUCGUCUUUUUUUUUUUUUUCUUAAAAAAAAUAUUACGUUUGGGAGGAAAACAUCGGAGAAAUUUUAAAUGUCGCCUAAAUUGUGAAUAACGUUAUAUAUCGAGUAGAUGAAAGCUUUCGAGGCGACGGAAGUUCGUUUCCGAGCCCGAUGAAUAAUUACUUUUUCCUUCAUUCCACAUCCGUCAGUCACUCAGUUCCAGGCGUGUACCUGCUACGUGAACGGACGUAAAUGCGAGCGAAAUCCUAAAAAAAUUGGAACUAACUUUUUGCUAACGUUUCAGGUAUCGGAUCGUCGAAUGGAGGAAGAGGAGGAGGAGGGGUACGAUAAUCGAAGAAAGAAAUAAAAAUUAAAAUUUCGGACAAGGAGCGAUCGCGAUACGAUUUGACUAUGGAACUAGACGACUACUAAUAUCGAGGAGAAUAUUCUCGAUUUAUCCGGGCUGUUUUCUUUCGAUCACGCCUGACGUAUUACGUAUAUAAUAGACGGAGAAAAAUUGCACUUCUUACGAUCUCACGUUCUCAAAUCGAUGCUACCUAAAAAUGUCCGUCGUGAUCGUUUACCAGCAGGAUGUUGCUGAAAAGAAACGAUUCGAGCAAGAUGGAUCGCCAAUCCUUAUUGCGGCUAUUCGAACCAUGGAAUAAAUCCUGGACAAAAUCGUACACCUAUAGAAUCGAUCUCUCGUAAUUUACAUUCAUUCGAGAUAAUUUAAUUCCUCGAUUCCAACUUUUAUUGAAGCCCGUGCACGAAUUUAUUCCAAAAUUUUACUCACAUCGCAAAGACUUUUUUUUUCUUUGCCUCGCAGAAUCAAAAAAGAGAGAUCAAAGGAGAGAAAAAGGAAAGAAAACGCGGCAAGAUGCCAAUCUAUCUCUUGCCGAUCAAUUUCGAAUCUACGUAUCCACGUCUAAAUUAUAGAAGAAACAUUCAAUCCUAUUCGAUCCUAUACAUUCCUAUACAUUCCUAUACAUUCCUAUACAUUCCUAUACAUUCGAUUUCUCUGACGGAAACACCGAAUAACUCCGAUUCGUGGAUUACGAACGUGUACACCCCGGGAUCGGAUCGGCGAUAAAAACUUGGAGAGGUAGUUCGAAUCGUUUUUCCGCCCCCUCGCAUUCUUUCACGCUGUUCCACACCCUUUGAGGCCGGCCGCACGAGCUUAAUUAUACGAAAUAAUUACACGACGCUUGGUAGAAAAUGUAGGAGCGAGCGGAGGAGGAACGCACGUGAAUCGCGCGUUCACCGUGGAUUGCGGUCGGCCGCGAGGCAGGGUGUCGAGCUGCGACCGCGCCAGUCGUGGGUGCAGCUGCAGGGAAAUGCAGUUUCGCGGGCGCACACGAGUGCUGGGUAAAGGGUUUGAAAAAGGAGAGUCACUCUGUUGGCGCGUAAUUAUGCCGCGUGCUGCCCACUUGUAUUAUGCCGGUUGAUGUUCUGAAAACGCGCGUCGUUUUUUCUUUUUUCUUUUUUUUUUUUUUCAAGCCACGAAAAAUGAUUAUGGUAAUUGCGACGAUCACCCCGCGUCUUCUCCCCGUCUUCUUCCGGGAAAGAAGGGUCGAGAAGGGAAGUCUCGAGGGAAAGUGGAUCAAACUUUUGACGCGUGGGGGUGAGAUUCUUGAAUGCCUCGAGUUUGAACGCGACGCGCGUGCGUUCGUUCAACUUGAAUGGGACGAGCGCACGUGUGCUGUGCGAUUUCGCGAAAAUCCAUUUGUCGAUCUUUUCUGGAUAAGGCAAAGUUUGAAUUGUGGAAGAAGAAAAGAAAAAGAAAUGUAACACGAAACGAACGAGAAAAUUGAUCUACUGUACCGACUUUAAUUCUACUUUUGUCUUUAUUAGAGAUUCGUCUGCAUCCAACGAAUUUCACAUUUUACAUUCCGUACUUUCGAAACUUUCCCUUGUCGCGAUUUAUGGAACGCAUUCACUUAACUCGUAAAAACGUAUACAUAUAUAUUUCUUGGUCUCUGAUGCACCACGUGUCAUCUCCCCCUCCCGCGACAUCGAAUCUACGUUUGAAGAAAGGGUAGGAGCGAGAAGUCAUCGUUAUUCAAAGAUCACGGACGCGUCUCAAUUUCCUUGAGAGAAGUUUCCGCUUUGUGGACCCCAGUCAAAUACGCGUGGAAAGAGGGCUCCCGUUCACUCUAAGUAUUUUCCCAGCUUCUCGAGCCUUUGAACGCGAAUCCCCUACAUUUUUCCAACUCUUCCUCCUCCUCCUCCUUUCCUCCUUCUCCGUCCACCCCCUCCUCCCCCUGUUCCGUUCCUGGUAAAUCUGCGCUAAAGCGUAAACGUAUUUCAGGCCUUCGAGAUCCAGCGAGACGUGAAUGUAGCGUGGGGUAGCGUGGAAAAAGUGCGGCCAAAUCGUUUCCCCGACGGCACACGGAUCGCUGCAAAGAGAUUAUCUCGGCUAUAUUAAUUCAUCGUGGAAACAGCGAUUACAUCGUGGGAGAAGAUCAAAUAGUAUUACGUAAUCCCGAUCUAAUCCCGUCUUAGAGCUUGCUCGACUUAACUCGGACCUAACGUAACCGGUCUCGAGUACCGCUCUCUUGCAGUUUGUUCCUUCAACCAGGAACGUUCGACUCUCGAAGUUGCGAAGAAAUUUACUUAACUUUUCAUGGAGGAUGGAGGGAGGAGAAAGAGAGAUAGAAAAAGAGAUCCUUGAAACAUAGCGAAUACCGGUGUAUUACAAGCGGGAGCUGUAUCGGGUCAGAUAAGAGAGUUCCCUCGCCUUAUCGUCGCUUUUUUACCGUCGCCAGACAACAGGCAACUGUCCACGAAACAAUAUUUUUCACCCACCUUUCCUAGCGUCAUCUUUUUUUCUCCUCCCUCCUUUUUCUCCCUUUCUUUUUAUCUUACCCCCCUUUCCUCCCCCGUACAACGCGAAGAUCUCGUUAACCGUUAAAGAACGGGUCUCGUGUAUUAUCCAGUCCUUUCUCAGAUAACAAGGAGAGGUACAACAACCGGUUGUGGUGCUAUCUUCAUCGAAUAAUUAAGAAUUGUUUAAUUGUCCUCGAGACCGGUUAUCGCGCGUGGGGAAAAGAAAAUUCGUCUGGAAAUAUUGAGCAGAAGAAUUCCUACGCAGAAGAAUUGUUCCAUUCUUCUUCAACCUCGAAAAUUAUAAUAUCUCUAUUAACGAUCGAUGGAACGGAAUUCUAUUUUUGGAUAUAUUCAUUCAACAAUCGACGCGUCUAUCGUCGAACGUGAUUGGUUAAAGAGUUACACUACACGAUCAAGUUUAUGUAUUUAUAUACGUGGCAUUUGGGAUCACUUGUUCAAAAGUAACGAGCUUUAAACUUGGGAAUCUAAUGGAAUUGCUUGGAAGAUGUUCGAAGUAAGACUCGUUGCAGGAAAUUUAUCAAUACGAAGAUCGAUAUAAUGUAAUUGGUGCAAUCUCUCGGUUGGUCCAAGCUUCUCGAUGAUUAUCGUCGUCGCGAAACACCCCAACCCUGAUUGAUUCAUCGAGAGAGAGAGGGGAAUUUUAAUCGUCCGCUUCUCCGAAGCGAUGAAUUUUGUUCUCUCGCGGAGCAAAGGGACCGCGGGUUAAGCGCGUUUUAAAGGAGAGCCUGUUUACUUUCAAAGUAACACAAUUGUGCGCAUACCGCAUAGUAGCGGCGCGCAUUCGAGCGGAAUUUCAUUUGAGAAACGAAAUUUUAACUCGGGAAUGCGAGCGAGAAGAAGCGGAGAAAUCAUACACGAUUAAAAAGCUUAAUCUCCUUUAUGAGCCGAAUAUGAAGGCCGUAAGGAGGGGCACGGAUGAGAAAUAGUUGCUACGAAUUACUACCCCGGUAAACAACCCCCUGGCAAAUGAUUAAAUUCCCGCGGAGAAAGAAAGAGAGAGAAAGAUAAAAGAGUGGGCGGCCUGGUAAGAAAGCGGGAUUCGAGCAAUUUAAACCGCGAUCUCCGCCUCGUAAACGAAAGAGGGAUGAUCGAUCUUGCAAGUUUUGGGGGAUGGCCGACUCGCAGAGAGAAAGAUCGGGCGGGCGAACGUUGCCCCCAUAAAAUGCACCCUCGAGCUACAUUCAUGGCGACGGAGGCGAGCAUUUUGGUUUCCCCUGCGGGCUAUUUAGCGCAUCUGCCUCCACCUUGGCGAAACGUUGGCGAAAAGGGUGGUGGUGCAAGGGGGAUGGGACGGUCUGGAUUGCGGAGGAAGAAGGGAUACGGGGAAAAAGGUGAAUGCGAGUCUGGCUACGUGACCGAAAAACCUGGAUUCCGUUUGUUUGGAUUGCUUGAUCAAAUACUUUUAAUUAAUUUGCUAAUCCGUCCCUCGAUAAUAAUAAUAAUAACCGGCGAUUUAUCUUUUCUUCCUCUUCUUCUUUUUCUUCUUCUUCUUCUUCAUCUUGCAUUCCGUAUUUUCAGCGUCGAUCGUGCGAGAAACGAAUUUCAUUAAUUCCGCUUCAUUUCUUGGAGGAGAAGAAAACGGAUGGAGAGAGCGAAGAUAAACUUUGGAUGCUGUUCGCGAUGUGAUUUCGAUCUUGGUGUCGUUGGUUAUUCCGUUAAUGGAUAUCCAAUUUCGUGUAUCAUCCCUCGAUCGGUCGUUAAUAGUCAAAGACCGGCGCGCUUUGAGAAACUCGAUAAUGGAUCGUUGCUGGGAGGAAGUUUCGAGGAAUCGAAAAUCUGGAAGAUCGUUUAUUACAUCGAGAUCGAUAAUUUAUCGAAUCUUUUCUUUUCCCUUCUAUUUCCCUUCCCUUCCCGCAAUGUGCUCGCUCGAAGAUAAUUGACAAAAGAAACAACGAAACCCGUUGGCUAAAGCUCGUUGCAACGUACGUGACCAACGAAUGGGAUCGAAACCGCAAUUGUUCAGCUUCUAUCCCGACGCUUUUAAUUCAUUUGUUAAUUUAUCGCCUGUACCAUUGUCCCAACGGGUCGUAACACUAAUACAAACCUCCCGAUUUCGCUCGUGCACGGCAACACGUGUACACGUAUAUACGCGCGUGCACACCUCACGGAAGAUUACGGUCAGUGCAUGAUAAGGGAAACCAAGCUUUCUACAUCUCUCUCUUGCUCCUUGAUAACAAUUGAUAAUGUUGCGAAAGAAAGAAAGGAGACUAUUAUUACCAGUUUGUAUUCGAUGCUCGUAAAGAUGAUCUUCAAAGAAUGUAAUCAUAUAUCAUCGUAAAGGAAUCUGGAUUCGCGAUAGAAAUUAAAAUCGUGGCAGCGUAAAAAUUUCGAGAGAAGAUUCCAGAGAAGAGACAUGUUGGAUUAUAAAAUUAUACGAAAUUACGAAAUAAUGAGCGCCGUUCCUCGAUUUUUACUAAUUUCUUUCGUCGCUCGAAACUUCUCCCCUCCCAGGAAUCUUAAGAAAUAAUUACUUAUCAAUCUUUCUCGAUCAAACUUUCAAAUUAGACUGUAAUUCGUCUCACGGGAGUAUCACAGUUUCGAGUAUCGCUCGGUCUUGGAAUUUCGUGGAGUCUUUAAUAAACGAGAAGAGGCGACGAGGUAUCAUCGGUACACCGAUUUCCUAUGUAUUACAUUUCAAAAUCCCCGGGCAUUAAUGCUGCGGUCGGACAAGAGGCUAUUUGCGAGAGUAGGUUGGCGGGGGGUUGGCAGGGUUUCAGAGUCCAGAACGACGGAAUUGCGAGCAUCCUCCAUCCAUAAGCCAGAAUCUCUGGCUAACUAAGCGGCCGGGAGAACGUCGAAGAGGGCAUUUACUUUUGUACACGAAUCUUGGGGGAAUCGGAAGUGAUGUCCAAGUGGAAGAUGGAAGCAGAUUGCUCGUCCGUUGAGGUAAACGUACCAUGGAUGGAAAGCCCGGUUAUCGGGCCACUGUAAUUAUGCAAAAUCCUUUAUCGUUUCCAAGAUGUUGAUUCCACGAUGAAAAAUUCAUUGACGCAUCGUGCGAUUCUUCGAUCCGAUUAUAUCGUUUGGAAACAUUUGUCAAGUUUAUAUCAGAGAUUUGAUUGUUAUCAGGAUCCAAUUUGACGAAUUUUCAAGAAUAGAUCGAUAUAUUUUAUAUACAUGUGUAUAUUUUUUUAUUUUAGGGGAAAGAUUUUCAACCCUUAGAAUUCGCUGAUUUUUCGUGUCCUCUGGUGGUAAGUUUUCGAGUUCGAUAGCAAGGAUGACAGCAAGGUUCGACAGCUAACGUAGAUCCCUGCCUGAUCAUGGACCAAAAAAGAAAAAAAAGAU